AGGCCGGGCCAAGAGCAUCGGUGUAGAGCUUUCAAGCGUGGCUGAUCUUGCCGCCCAGGAAGAUUGUAUAGUAGGUUGCCUGUAAAGCCGCUGUAAAGAUGUCUGACGAUGAACAGCAAGAACAGACCAUCGCCGAAGACUUGGUUGUCACCAAGUAUAAAAUGGGAGGUGACAUUGCCAACCAGGCCCUCAAGGUGGUGAUUGAGGCGGCGAAACCUGGGGUGUCGGUGCUCAGUUUGUGUGAGAAGGGCGACGCUCACAUUAUGGCCGAGACUGGCAAGAUCUUCAAGAGGGAGAAGGACAUGAAGAAAGGCAUUGCGUUCCCCACCUGCGUGUCAGUCAAUAACUGUGUAUGCCACUUCUCUCCCCUGAAGAGUGACCCUGACUACACGCUAAAAGACGGAGACCUGGUCAAAAUUGACCUCGGAGUCCAUGUCGAUGGAUUCAUCUCCAAUGUGGCUCACAGCUUUGUCAUCGGAGCCAGUAAGGACAACCCUGUUACUGGCAGGAAAGCCGAUGUGAUCAAAGCUGCCCACUUGUGCGCGGAGGCAGCCCUGCGGCUCGUCAAACCUGGCAACCAGAACUCUCAGGUGACCGAGGCCUGGAACAAGAUCGCUCAGUCAUUCAAAUGCACUCCUAUUGAGGGCAUGCUUUCUCAUCAGCUGAAGCAGCAUGUCAUUGAUGGAGAAAAGACCAUUAUUCAGAACCCAACAGACCAGCAAAGGAAGGACCAUGAGAAGGCAGAGUUUGAGGUGCAUGAGGUGUAUGCCGUGGAUGUCUUGAUCAGCUCAGGAGAAGGAAAGGCAAGAGAUGGUGGACAAAGGACCACCAUCUACAAAAGGGACCCUAGCAAGCAGUAUGGCCUGAAGAUGAAGACCUCCAGAAUGUUUUUCAGCGAAGUGGAGCGACGCUUUGAUGCAAUGCCCUUCACUCUUAGGGCGUUUGAGGAUGAGGGAAAAGCCCGUUUGGGAGUGGUGGAGUGUGCCAAACACGAGCUCCUUCAGCCUUUCAACGUACUCAACGAGAAGGACGGUGAGUUUGUGGCCCAGUUCAAGUUCACAGUGCUGCUCAUGGCCAAUGGGCCCUUGAGAAUCACCAGUGGACCCCUCGAGCCAGAACUCUACAAAUCAGAACAUGAGGUCCAGGAUGCUGAGCUGAAGUCUCUGAUACAGAGUUCGGCCAGUCGUAAAGCACAAAAGAAAAAGAAGAAGAAGGAGAAAUGAAAACGCCCUGCAUGCACUCCUCCAUGUGCAACAAGAGUAGUUGCCAAAACUUCUGUAGCCAAAUACCAGAUGUACAAUUUAAUUGAGGGGGAAAAGUGGGCGAAGAACCUGGAGGCUUCCAAGACGGCGGAGAAUGCCACUGGUCAGCCAGCCGAGAACGAGGUUGCAGAAUAGAUCAACAACCAACAAACAAA